GCUACAUGAUGAUAUUCCCAGUGACUGACACUCUGUAGUUGGUCCAUGGUGUGUCCAUGAUGUAUUGCACUGUUUCAAGACGGGACUGAUGGCAGC
rnacentral:snoRNA from 1 species